rnacentral:rRNA from 1 species
GACGAACGCUGGCGGCGUGCUUAACACAUGCAAGUCGAACGGAAAGGCCCUGCUUUUGUGGGGUGCUCGAGUGGCGAACGGGUGAGUAACACGUGAGUAACCUGCCCUUGACUUUGGGAUAACUUCAGGAAACUGGGGCUAAUACCGGAUAGGAGCUCCUGCUGCAUGGUGGGGGUUGGAAAGUUUCGGCGGUUGGGGAUGGACUCGCGGCUUAUCAGCUUGUUGGUGGGGUAGUGGCUUACCAAGGCUUUGACGGGUAGCCGGCCUGAGAGGGUGACCGGCCAAAAUGGGAAUGAGAUAAGGCCCAGACUCCUACGGGAGGCAGUAGUGGGGAAUAUUGCACAAUGGGCGGAAGCCUGAUGCAGCAACGCCGCGUGCGGGAUGACGGCCUUCGGGUUGUAAACCGCUUUCGCCUGUGACGAAGCGUGAGUGACGGUAAUGGGUAAAGAAGCACCGGCUAACUACGUG